AGUGAACGCUGGCGGUAGGCCUAACACAUGCAAGUCGAACGGCAGCACAGUAAGAGCUUGCUCUUACGGGUGGCGAGUGGCGGACGGGUGAGGAAUACAUCGGAAUCUACUUUUUCGUGGGGGAUAACGUAGGGAAACUUACGCUAAUACCGCAUACGACCUACGGGUGAAAGCAGGGGAUCUUCGGACCUUGCGCGAUUGAAUGAGCCGAUGUCGGAUUAGCUAGUUGGCGGGGUAAAGGCCCACCAAGGCGACGAUCCGUAGCUGGUCUGAGAGGAUGAUCAGCCGCACUGGAGCUGGGACACGGUCCAGACUCCUACGGGAGGCAGCAGUGGGGAAUAUUGGACAAGGGGCGCAAGCCUGAUCCAGCCAUACCGCGUGGGUGAAGAAGGCCUUCGGGUUGUAAAGCCCUUUUGUUGGGAAAGAAAAGCAGCAGGUUAAUACCCCGCUGUUCUGACGGUACCCAAAGAAUAAGCACCGGCUAACUUCGU
rnacentral:rRNA from 1 species